CUUAUUGUACUAGUUCAGCGGUGCAGCGAAAACGAACAGACGCAAUAACAUUAGUUGACAGCUGUUACGUUCGUGCAUAAAUAACUUAUUUUCGAGCGACAAUGAAAUUUCAUGAAAGACAAGAAAGCAAUAACAAUUCUACAUUUCUCUUUAUUCUAUCGGUGUACAUAUGAUGUAUUCACAAACGUGUACCUAACCUAACGGGCAGUUUUACCUAACACAGACUCGUCGAGCUUCUUCAUGCUGUGUUAACCUUUCUGACAGUAUCGUCCCGGACCAAUUACUUUAAUCACGCGAUGUUAUCCGCUGCCGAAAACAUGACGUCGCAGGUUGCACUUUACCGAAAACGUGCGUCGAGAAUGAGUGAAGCACGGAUGCGGCGAAGGAGGUAGAGGGGGUGAUCAGGCCAAAAGGAUUAGGCCUCCUUACUUCCUCUUACCGCUCCAGUUCGUCCUGUAGGCUGUGCAAGUGGCAGUCACGGCUUUCAGCUUCGGGUCAACUGACGUUACGAAAUCUGCGAGACGCUUGCUAAUGUCUGACAUCAUAGGAGAAUGAAUAUUUCUUCCGAGAUAUUCCGCACGGUUCACAGUUCCGACUAAAAAAACCGGUUACGGUACGACGAUCGGUCCGGUCGGCAGAGAGCAGACGAUUAAUCCUGUUUAGAGGAUUUUCUCGGUUCGUUUCGGUCGUUUUCUUUUUCUUUCCUCGAAAACUUACAGCCGAUAAUUAGUCGAUUCUUGAGCCGACACACUCCGACGAGCGAAUCAAUGCAAUUCGCUUUCGCUUCGGUGCAUUUCGCGAGAUAUUUCAGCGUGCUCACUCACGCGAGAUAAAACCGCGAAUGCGAUGCGCGGACGCGGCCGCUGAUUCGUAUGUGCGACGAGGGGCGAAUUUUAUUCGCGUUGAAUGCACAGAACAAUGGAGCACGAUCGGCGACGUGAGUUGUGCGCGGUGGACGCGAGGCCGAGGUGUAACUUCGACAAACAGCGGAACCUGAAUAGGUGCGAUCGGCGCCGAGUAAUUAGCGACAGUGCGUAUGUCGGACACGUGUGUAAACGCGGUGCAUAUGUACAGACGACCGAGACGCCCGAUUGGGUGAGAAGGAAUGCCGUUUAGAAUCACUAAGUUACUGAUCCGCUCAACGUCGAUCGCAAUACGAAAACCUGGAAACGGCGCGGAACUUGUCAAGAAGCAGCUUCGCUGCUAUUCUUAUAUUUCUGCAAGAUUUGUCGCGCGGGACACAAGCAAUUCUUCUGCAACUGUAUAUUUUCAUUACUCUCUACUAUGAUUUUUUGUAUUAUUAUCUGUAUUAUUUUAAUGAUACUCUAUAUGAGUGGGGGGUCCGUGAGCGAAAUAAUUUGAACUUUUUUCGACUGAUCUAAUAAAAUCUGGAAAGAACUAAAGAGAGUAGAAAAGGGAAUGUACUCUCUAAUGGAAAGCAUCAAACAAAAUUAAACGGCUGAAAAGAAAUUUCAUCCCGUUUAACGGCGUCUCUGCCGCCGCUAAAAAUGUCCCUCACGUGUUCCCCACCAUUCAUGCACGUAAUUUGAUUCACUGAGAUAUUUGAAUCGUAUCGAAAAAGUUUAAUAAGUAAGCUUACGUGAAAAAUUUUCGAGCGAAUGACGAUAAUCCUGUGACGCCCCGUAGUAGUUUUUAUCGUUGCGUGGAGAAUACGCUUCGAGCGCGCGCAUUUUUAUCAGAUAAUUAUGUAAUUUGUUUGCACAGCCGCGGUAAUUUCAAUCGGAUACCGAGAAAUUUCGUUGCGCGUACACGGGAAUACGACGCUAAUAAAGCCGUAAGUCUGGGUGUAUCGUGGGACCACGUUAAAUUAGACUCCGACCAUAAUUUGCCUCCGAACCGGCCGAUCGGACGCGUCAUCGAGACAUCAAAGCUGGAACUUUAAACGUCGUUGGCGAUCGAUUCCAAAACAGGUUUUUAAUUGAUCAGUAUGGAAUGUCAAGUCUGCUCAUGAAUUAUUGGUUUGGUUCGACAUGAUCGAACGUUUUCUAUUUUGCUAAAAACUCACGAAUUAAAAUGCAAUACGCGCGGUAUCAAACAGAAAAGAUUAACAGCCGAUGAACCGAUAAAUCAGGGUUUCAGGGACAAAACUAUUUUUGUCUCCCAUCAACUGUCACUUUGCCAUUUAGAUAUGCAAAGUACAAAUAAUGCUUUGUGUUGCGCAGUUAAAAUAAUAAAAAUUCCGUUCUGUUUUCGCACAUUAAUUAAACUUUAAAUUCUUCAUAAUUAUUUUAUAUUUAAUAAAUUUUUAUAAAUAAAAUCCAAUGAAAUUAGAUCUAUACAGACUAAUAAUAUAGAUCUAUCGUUGAAAGAGAGAAAAUGAGAAAGCAAGACAAUCUGUUUGAAAAUAUUGACUAUUUGAAAAUAAAGUAUCUUUUUAAUACGCUUAUUACUAAGGCUAAGUUCGUUUUGCACGCUUUCGUGCUGAAAAAGCAUCGUUCUAUCUUUAUUUCUCACCGAGUACACACGACUUUAAUAAUGCCUUCCAUUUUCAGUCGGGAUAUUUCGACUCGGGCGUAUCAUAUCUACAUAUUUUUGUAUUAUGUCUGUUAAUUUUGAGAAGAAUCAGCAAC